GACGAACGCUGGCGGCGUGCUUAACACAUGCAAGUCGAACGGAAAGGCCCUGCUUUUGUGGGGUGCUCGAGUGGCGAACGGGUGAGUAACACGUGAGUAACCUGCCCUUGUCUUUGUGAUAACUUCAGGAAACUGGGGCUAAUACCGGAUAGGAGCUCCUGCUGCAUGGGGGUGGUUGGAAAGUUUCGGCGGUUGGGGAUGGACUCGCGGCUUAUCAGCUUGUUGGUGGGGUAGUGGCUUACCAAGGCUUUGACGGGUAGCCGGCCUGAGAGGGUGACCGGCGACAUUGGGACUGAGAUACGGCGCAGACGCCUACGGGAGGCAGCAGUGGGGAAUAUUGCACAAUGGGCGGAAGCCUGAUGCAGCAACGCCGCGUGCGGGAUGACGGCCUUCGGGUUGUAAACCGCUUUCGCCUGUGACGAAGCGUGAGUGACGGUAAUGGGUAAAGAAGCACCGGCUAACUACGUG
rnacentral:rRNA from 1 species